UACGUAGGGGGCUAGCGUUGUCCGGAUUUAUUGGGCGUAAAGAGCGUGUAGGCGGCCAGAUAGGUCUGCUGUGAAAACUCGAGGCUCAACCUCGAGAUGUCGGCGGAAACCAUUUGGCUAGAGUCCGGAAGAGGAAAGUGGAAUUCCUGGUGUAGCGGUGAAAUGCGUAGAUAUCUGGAGGAACACCGGUGGCGAAGGCGGCGUCCUGGACCAACACUGACACUGAUGAGCGAAAGCCAGGGGAGCAAACGGG
rnacentral:rRNA from 1 species